rnacentral:rRNA from 1 species
AUACAGAGGGUGCAAGCGUUAAUCGGAAUUACUGGGCGUAAAGCGCACGUAGGCGGUUUUUUAAGUCAGAUGUGAAAGCCCCGGGCUCAACCUGGGAAUUGCAUUUGAAACUGGAAAACUAGAGUGUGUGAGAGGGGGGUAGAAUUCCAAGUGUAGCGGUGAAAUGCGUAGAGAUUUGGAGGAAUACCAGUGGCGAAGGCGGCCCCCUGGCACAACACUGACGCUCAGGUGCGAAAGCGUGGGGAGCAAACAGGAUUAGAAACCCUAGUAGUCC